UUAGAUAUUUUAUAGUCACAACAGUACUUAGCUAAAGGUUACACCUAAUAGAUAUUCGCAUCACCACUUUCGUUAGAGAGUACGCUGUCAUCCACAGGGAGUGAUUCUCUUACGUCUUUCCAGACCAGAUGGGGGAGGGGGAAACAGUUACCCCAGAUGGGGUUAGAGGAACAGAUACCCCUCAGAGAUAAAAAGUCAAAUGAGAUACUUGAUGCAUUAUGCAU
rnacentral:lncRNA from 1 species